rnacentral:rRNA from 1 species
GACGAACCGUACGAACGUUAUUCGGAAUCACUGGGCUUAAAGGGUGCGUAGGCGGCGCAGUAAGUUGGGUGUGAAAUCCCUCGCUUAACCGAGGAAUUGCGCCCAAAACUACUGUGCUCGAGGGAGGUAGAGGUGAGCGGAACUUAGGGUGGAGCGGUGAAAUGCGUUGAUAUCCUAAGGAACACCGGUGGCGAAAGCGGCUCACUGGACCUCUUCUGACGCUGAGGCACGAAAGCUAGGGGUAGCAAACGGG